UCGAGAUGAUUAGUGGCGGACGGGUGAGUAACAUUUAGGAAUCUGCCUAGUAGUGGGGGAUAGCUCGGGGAAACUCGAAUUAAUACCGCAUACGACCUACGGGUGAAAGGGGGCGCAAGCUCUUGCUAUUAGAUGAGCCUAAAUCAGAUUAGCUAGUUGGUGGGGUAAAGGCCUACCAAGGCGACGAUCUGUAACUGGUCUGAGAGGAUGAUCAGUCACACCGGAACUGAGACACGGUCCGGACUCCUACGGGAGGCAGCAGUGGGGAAUAUUGGACAAUGGGGGCAACCCUGAUCCAGCCAUGCCGCGUGUGUGAAGAAGGCCUUUUGGUUGUAAAGCACUUUAAGCAGGGAGGAGAGGCUAAUGGUUAAUACCCAUUAGAUUAGACGUUACCUGCAGAAUAAGCACCGGCUAACUCUGUGCCAGCAGCCGCGGUAAUACAGAGGGUGCGAGCGUUAAUCGGAAUUACUGGGCGUAAAGCGAGUGUAGGUGGCUCAUUAAGUCACAUGUGAAAUCCCCGGGCUUAACCUGGGAACUGCAUGUGAUACUGGUGGUGCUAGAAUAUGUGAGAGGGAAGUAGAAUUCCAGGUGUAGCGGUGAAAUGCGUAGAGAUCUGGAGGAAUACCGAUGGCGAAGGCAGCUUCCUGGCAUAAUAUUGACACUGAGAUUCGAAAGCGUGGGUAGCAAACAGGAUUAGAUACCCUGGUAGUCCACGCCGUAAACGAUGUCUACUAGCCGUUGGGGUCCUUGAGACUUUAGUGGCGCAGUUAACGCGAUAAGUAGACCGCCUGGGGAGUACGGCCGCAAGGUUAAAACUCAAAUGAAUUGACGGGGGCCCGCACAAGCGGUGGAGCAUGUGGUUUAAUUCGAUGCAACGCGAAGAACCUUACCUGGUCUUGACAUAGUGAGAAUCCUGCAAAGAUGCGGGAGUGCCUUCGGGAACUCACAUA
rnacentral:rRNA from 1 species